rnacentral:rRNA from 1 species
AGAGCUUGAUCAUGGCUCAGAUUGAACGCUGGCGGCAGGCCUAACACAUGCAAGUCGAACGGUAACAGGAAGCAGCUUGCUGCUUCGCUGACGAGUGGCGGACGGGUGAGUAAUGUCUGGGAAGCUGCCUGAUGGAGGGGGAUAACUACUGGAAACGGUAGCUAAUGCCGCAUAAUGUCGCAAGACCAAAGAGGGGGACCUUCGGGCCUCUUGCCAUCGGAUGUGCCCAGAUGGGAUUAGCUUGUUGGUGGGGUAACGGCUCACCAAGGCGACGAUCCCUAGCUGGUCUGAGAGGAUGACCAGCCACACUGGAACUGAGACACGGUCCAGACUCCUACGGGAGGCAGCAGUGGGGAAUAUUGCACAAUGGGCGCAAGCCUGAUGCAGCCAUGCCGCGUGUAUGAAGAAGGCCUUCGGGUUGUAAAGUACUUUCAGCGGGGAGGAAGGGAGUAAAGUUAAUACCUUUGCUCAUUGACGUUACCCGCAGAAGAAGCACCGGCUAACUCCGUGCCAGCAGCCGCGGUAAUACGGAGGGUGCAAGCGUUAAUCGGAAUUACUGGGCGUAAAGCGCACGCAGGCGGUUUGUUAAGUCAGAUGUGAAAUCCCCGGGCUCAACCUGGGAACUGCAUCUGAUACUGGCAAGCUUGAGUCUCGUAGAGGGGGGUAGAAUUCCAGGUGUAGCGGUGAAAUGCGUAGAGAUCUGGAGGAAUACCGGUGGCGAAGGCGGCCCCCUGGACGAAGACUGACGCUCAGGUGCGAAAGCGUGGGGAGCAAACAGGAUUAGAUACCCUGGUAGUCCACGCCGUAAACGAUGUCGACUUGGAGGUUGUGCCCUUGAGGCGUGGCUUCCGGAGCUAACGCGUUAAGUCGACCGCCUGGGGAGUACGGCCGCAAGGUUAAAACUCAAAUGAAUUGACGGGGGCCCGCACAAGCGGUGGAGCACGUGGUUUAAUUCGAUGCAACGCGAAGAACCUUACCUGGUCUUGACAUCCACGGAAGUUUUCAGAGAUGAGAAUGUGCCUUCGGGAACCGUGAGACAGGUGCUGCAUGGCUGUCGUCAGCUCGUGUUGUGAAAUGUUGGGUUAAGUCCCGCAACGAGCGCAACCCUUAUCCUUUGUUGCCAGCGGUCCGGCCGGGAACUCAAAGGAGACUGCCAGUGAUAAACUGGAGGAAGGUGGGGAUGACGUCAAGUCAUCAUGGCCCUUACGACCAGGGCUACACACGUGCUACAAUGGCGCAUACAAAGAGAAGCGACCUCGCGAGAGCAAGCGGACCUCAUAAAGUGCGUCGUAGUCCGGAUUGGAGUCUGCAACUCGACUCCAUGAAGUCGGAAUCGCUAGUAAUCGUGGAUCAGAAUGCCACGGUGAAUACGUUCCCGGGCCUUGUACACACCGCCCGUCACACCAUGGGAGUGGGUUGCAAAAGAAGUAGGUAGCUUAACCUUCGGGAGGGCGCUUACCACUUUGUGAUUCAUGACUGGGGUGAAGUCGUAACAAGGUA